rnacentral:snoRNA from 1 species
CACACUGAUGAUCUACUUUUUCUAAAUAACUUUCGUUCUACCGAAUAGCAUCUCACGAUGUUGAGGAGACCUUUACUGCUGACG